rnacentral:rRNA from 2 species
UACAAUGGAGAGUUUGAUCCUGGCUCAGGAUGAACGCUAGCGGGAGGCUUAACACAUGCAAGCCGAGGGGUAUAGUUAGCUUGCUAACUAGAGACCGGCGCACGGGUGCGUAACGCGUAUGCAACUUGCCCUACUGAAAAGGAUAGCCCUUCGAAAGGAGGAUUAAUACUUUAUAAUAGAAAUCAUGGCAUCAUGAAUUUUUGAAAGAUUUAUCGCAGUAGGAUAGGCAUGCGUAAGAUUAGUUAGUUGGUGAGGUAACGGCUCACCAAGACGAUGAUCUUUAGGGGGCCUGAGAGGGUGAACCCCCACACUGGUACUGAGACACGGACCAGACUCCUACGGGAGGCAGCAGUGAGGAAUAUUGGACAAUGGGUGGAAGCCUGAUCCAGCCAUCCCGCGUGUAGGAUGACGGCCUUAUGGGUUGUAAACUACUUUUAUCUGGGGAUAAACCUACUUACGUGUAAGUAGCUGAAGGUACCAGAAGAAUAAGCACCGGCUAACUCCGUGCCAGCAGCCGCGGUAAUACGGAGGGUGCAAGCGUUAUCCGGAUUUAUUGGGUUUAAAGGGUCCGUAGGCGGAUUAAUCAGUCAGUGGUGAAAUCUCAUAGCUUAACUAUGAAACUGCCAUUGAUACUGUUAGUCUUGAGUGAUGUUGAAGUUGCUGGAAUGUGUAGUGUAGCGGUGAAAUGCUUAGAUAUUACGCAGAACACCAAUUGCGAAGGCAGGUGACUAAACAUCAACUGACGCUGAUGGACGAAAGCGUGGGGAGCGAACAGGAUUAGAUACCCUGGUAGUCCACGCCGUAAACGAUGGAUACUUGCUGUUGGGUUUUCGAACUCAGUGGCUAAGCGAAAGUUAUAAGUAUCCCACCUGGGGAGUACGUUCGCAAGAAUGAAACUCAAAGGAAUUGACGGGGGCCCGCACAAGCGGUGGAGCAUGUGGUUUAAUUCGAUGAUACGCGAGGAACCUUACCAAGGCUUAAAUGCAAUUUGACAGAUCUAGAAAUAGAUUUUUCUUCGGACAGACUGCAAGGUGCUGCAUGGCUGUCGUCAGCUCGUGCCGUGAGGUGUUAGGUUAAGUCCUGCAACGAGCGCAACCCCUAUCAUUAGUUGCCAGCGUUUAAAGACGGGGACUCUAAUGAGACUGCCGGUGCAAACCGCGAGGAAGGUGGGGACGACGUCAAGUCAUCACGGCCCUUACGUCUUGGGCUACACACGUGCUACAAUGGUAAGUACAGAGGGCAGCUACUUGGCAACAAGAUGCGAAUCUCAAAAACUUAUCUCAGUUCGGAUUGGAGUCUGCAACUCGACUCUAUGAAGCUGGAAUCGCUAGUAAUCGCAUAUCAGCCAUGAUGCGGUGAAUACGUUCCCGGGCCUUGUACACACCGCCCGUCAAGCCAUGGAAGCUGGGGGUACCUGAAGUCGGUGACCGUAACAGGAGCUGCCUAGGGUAAAACUGGUAACUAGGGCUAAGUCGUAACAAGGUAGCCGUACCGGAAGGUGCGGCUGGAACAUCUCAUAUUUAGA